GACAGAGGGGGCAAGCGUUGCUCGGAAUUACUGGGCGUAAAGGGCGCGUAGGCGGGAUGGCAAGUCGGUCGUGAAAUCCCCGAGCUCAACUCGGGAACUGCGUCCGAUACUGGCAGGCUUGAAUCCGGGAGAGGGAUGCGGAAUUCCAGGUGUAGCGGUGAAAUGCGUAGAUAUCAUUUGGAACGCCAAUGGUGAAAACAGGUUGCUGGGAGUGUGCUGACGCUGAGACACGAAAGCCAGGGGAGCGAACGGG
rnacentral:rRNA from 1 species